rnacentral:rRNA from 1 species
CGCGUAGGCGGCUUGGCAAGUGAGGCGUGAAAGUCCUGGGCUCAACCUGGGGACGGCGCUUCAGACUGUUUGGCUUGAGUCCGGAAGAGGGUGGUGGAAUUCCGAGUGUAGAGGUGAAAUUCGUAGAUAUUCGGAGGAACACCGGUGGCGAAGGCGGCCACCUGGUCCGGAACUGACGCUGAAGCGCGAAAGCGUGGGGAGCAAACA